GACAGAGGGUGCAAACGUUGUUCGGAAUUACUGGGCGUAAAGCGUGUGUAGGCGGUCCACUAAGUCGGGUGUGAAAGCCCUGGGCUCAACCCAGGAAGUGCACUCGAAACUGGCGGGCUAGAGUAUCGGAGAGGUUGGUGGAAUUCCAGGUGUAGCGGUGAAAUGCGUAGAUAUCUGGAGGAACACCGGUGGCGAAGGCGGCACCCUGGACCAACACUGACACUGAGGAGCGAAAGCCAGGGGAGCAAACGGG
rnacentral:rRNA from 1 species